GGGAAGGUGGUUCAGUGGUAGAGCGCUUGCCUUGCAUGCAUGAGGCCCUGGGU
rnacentral:tRNA from 1 species